GCAGUUGACCUACAUCACAGGUUGUAGCAGAUGUUCUCAACAUUUCUAUUGAAAUUUCCUUAUCUCUUUGCAAGAGGAGCCCCAGAGCCUCAUCCCUGUGGUAGCUACUAUGUUCUGAUAUAAGUUGUUAUUCACCAGGGAGCUUUGGCAAGAGUAUGGCUAUAUUAUGAAGUCCGUCUCCACCUCGGGAAAACUUGAAACUCAUCUUUAUUUAUGUUUACAUUCUCAAGACUCAUUUUGGAUUACAGAGAUCAUGUUCUACUUGUAAACUCCUAUGGAAGAAUUUAAAAUGAGCUUGGAUCUGCGCCGGGGGCGGCAUGGAUUUCAAAGUCAUUAUGUAAGGUGUACUGUCUGUAGGAUGGAGGUAGACUGAAUACCUGUUGCACUGAAUACCGGCUUCAAAUCACCUUUCGCGUUUUCUUGUUGGAAAGACAACUGUUGGAGAAUCAUCUUGUUAACUGUCAGCAAAAAUGGAAACAAAUCAAGACAUUAAGAAUGCCACAGAGACCAGCAGUUAAUGAUGCCAGUGUUAUGCAAGCUUCGCCAAAGGAAUUUUUCAGGACAGUGUGCUUCACCAGCCAGAAAUCAGGAAAGGUUGAACCUAUCCUUUUUGUCUCAGCUGUUUCUUAAAUCAAUGCAACCCUUCCAAAUUAAAGUGAAUUGAA